rnacentral:rRNA from 1 species
AUUGAACGCUGGCGGCAGGCUUAACACAUGCAAGUCGAACGAGUGGCGGACGGGUGAGUAAUGCUUGGGAAUCUGGCUUAUGGAGGGGGAUAACUACGGGAAACUGUAGCUAAUACCGCGUACCAUAGGAUGAGCCCAAGUGGGAUUAGGUAGUUGGUGAGGUAAAGGCUCACCAAGCCGACGAUCUCUAGCUGGUCUGAGAGGAUGACCAGCCAAACUGGGACUGAAACAGGGCCAAGCCUCCUACGGGGGGCAGCGGGGGGAAUUAUGGCGAAAGGGGGGCAACCUGACGCAGCCAUGCCGCGGGAAUGAAGAAGGCCUUCGGGUGGUAAAGUUCUUUCGGUAGCGAGGCGUUAACUACAGAAGAAGCACCGGCUAACUCCGUGCCAGCGGCCGCGGUAUAC